UUACGUGGGACGUAAAGCGCAUGCAGGUGGUUUAGUUAAGUCAGAUGUAGAAACGGCCCGGGGCUACCAACCGUACGGUAAUUGCUAUUUAGAAACGUGGACAAACUAGAGUACUGUAGAGGGGGUAGAAUUUCAGGUGUAGCGGUGAAAUGCGUAGAGAUCUGAAGGAAUACCGGUGGCGAAGGCGGCCCCCUGGACAGAUACUGACACUCAGAUGCGAAAGCGUGGGGAGCAAACAGGAUUAGAUACCCUGGUAG
rnacentral:rRNA from 1 species